AUGGAUUUAACAUGUGCAGAAAACUUCAAACUGAGUCCAUUACUUGUGUUAUACGAAGCAAGAUUGGAAGAAGCAGAUGACGCACUCAAGGGGAUAAUGUUUUUAAUGUAACGAAUGGAACAAAAGAAUUAUUGCAGAGGUGAGGUCAAGGUGAAAGGAACCAAAGAGGACAUGAUGAAGCACCCAGAUCCAGCAAGAAUAGAAAGUCAUUACCUCUCCUUUGCUUGACAUGACAAAUAAAAAAAAAAAAAGACACAUAAUACCAGAACAUGAUAAGAAGUAAGAGCUAUGAUCACAGCAGAAGGGUCACUCAACAACAUCUGAAAUUAUAAGGAGAAGGAUAUACCUACUGCCAAGACCUAGCAGGAAGAUAAAAGGGGAGAAUACUUGGGCUACUUUUUCUAUUCAAACAACAAUUUCAUAGCUACUGCCAAGGCCUAGCAGGAAGAUAAAAGGGGAAAAUACUCUGGCUACUUUUUCCAUUCAAACAGCAAUCUCCCUCCUCCUCUCCCUCCUCUGUCUAGAAAUCCCCAGUGUCUCUUGUUUCCAUCUUUAUAUUUAUGUGUAUGCAUGUUUAGCUCCCGCUUGCAAGUAAGGAAAAACAUCCAUUGGGUAUUAUGCUCACUACGUGGGGGAUAGGAUCAUUUGUAUCCCAAACUUCAGUGUCACACAAUAUACCUACAAACCUGCACAUAUACC
rnacentral:lncRNA from 1 species